rnacentral:rRNA from 1 species
UUUUAUGGAGAGUUUGAUCCUGGCUCAGGAUGAACGCUGGCGGCGUGCCUAAUACAUGCAAGUCGAGCGAACGGACGAGAAGCUUGCUUCUCUGAUGUUAGCGGCGGACGGGUGAGUAACACGUGGAUAACCUACCUAUAAGACUGGGAUAACUUCGGGAAACCGGAGCUAAUACCGGAUAAUAUUUUGAACCGCAUGGUUCAAAAGUGAAAGACGGUCUUACUGUCACUUAUAGAUGGAUCCGCGCUGCAUUAGCUAGUUGGUAAGGUAACGGCUUACCAAGGCAACGAUGCAUAGCCGACCUGAGAGGGUGAUCGGCCACACUGGAACUGAGACACGGUCCAGACUCCUACGGGAGGCAGCAGUAGGGAAUCUUCCGCAAUGGGCGAAAGCCUGACGGAGCAACGCCGCGUGAGUGAUGAAGGUCUUCGGAUCGUAAAACUCUGUUAUUAGGGAAGAACAUAUGUGUAAGUAACUGUGCACAUCUUGACGGUACCUAAUCAGAAAGCCACGGCUAACUACGUGCCAGCAGCCGCGGUAAUACGUAGGUGGCAAGCGUUAUCCGGAAUUAUUGGGCGUAAAGCGCGCGUAGGCGGUUUUUUAAGUCUGAUGUGAAAGCCCACGGCUCAACCGUGGAGGGUCAUUGGAAACUGGAAAACUUGAGUGCAGAAGAGGAAAGUGGAAUUCCAUGUGUAGCGGUGAAAUGCGCAGAGAUAUGGAGGAACACCAGUGGCGAAGGCGACUUUCUGGUCUGUAACUGACGCUGAUGUGCGAAAGCGUGGGGAUCAAACAGGAUUAGAUACCCUGGUAGUCCACGCCGUAAACGAUGAGUGCUAAGUGUUAGGGGGUUUCCGCCCCUUAGUGCUGCAGCUAACGCAUUAAGCACUCCGCCUGGGGAGUACGACCGCAAGGUUGAAACUCAAAGGAAUUGACGGGGACCCGCACAAGCGGUGGAGCAUGUGGUUUAAUUCGAAGCAACGCGAAGAACCUUACCAAAUCUUGACAUCCUUUGACAACUCUAGAGAUAGAGCUUCCCCUUCGGGGACAAAGUGACAGGUGGUGCAUGGUUGUCGUCAGCUCGUGUCGUGAGAUGUUGGGUUAAGUCCCGCAACGAGCGCAACCCUUAAGCUUAGUUGCCAUCAUUAAGUUGGGCACUCUAAGUUGACUGCCGGUGACAAACCGGAGGAAGGUGGGGAUGACGUCAAAUCAUCAUGCCCCUUAUGAUUUGGGCUACACACGUGCUACAAUGGACAAUACAAAGGGCAGCGAAACCGCGAGGUCAAGCAAAUCCCAUAAAGUUGUUCUCAGUUCGGAUUGUAGUCUGCAACUCGACUACAUGAAGCUGGAAUCGCUAGUAAUCGUAGAUCAGCAUGCUACGGUGAAUACGUUCCCGGGUCUUGUACACACCGCCCGUCACACCACGAGAGUUUGUAACACCCGAAGCCGGUGGAGUAACCUUUUAGGAGCUAGCCGUCGAAGGUGGGACAAAUGAUUGGGGUGAAGUCGUAACAAGGUAGCCGUAUCGGAAGGUGCGGCUGGAUCACCUCCUUUCUAA